GACGAACGCUGGCGGCGUGCCUAAUACAUGCAAGUAGGACGCAGUUGCGAACGGGUGAGUAACGCGUCGGUAACUGCCUAUUAGAGGGGGCUAACUAUUGGAAACGAAAGCUAAUACCGCAUACUAGUAGAUGGACCUGCGUUGUAUUAGCUAGUAGAUAGGGUAAUGGCCUACCUAGGCAACGAUACAUAGCCGACCUUGGAGGGUGAUCGGCCACACUGGGACUGAGACACGGCCCAGACUCCUACGGGAGGCAGCGGUAGGGAAUCUUCGGCAAUGGGGGGAACCCUGACCGAGCAGCGCCGCGUGAGUGAAGAAGGUUUUCGGAUCGUAAAGCUCUGUUGUUAAGGAAGCGGUACUUAACCAAAAAGGGACGGCUAACUACGUGCCAGCAGCCGCGGUAAUUC
rnacentral:rRNA from 1 species